rnacentral:rRNA from 1 species
AUUGAACGCUGGCGGCAGGCCUAACACAUGCAAGUCGGACGGUAGCACAGAGAGCUUGCUCUUGGGUGACGAGUGGCGGACGGGUGAGUAAUGUCUGGGGAUCUGCCCGAUAGAGGGGGAUAACCACUGGAAACGGUGGCUAAUACCGCAUAACGUCGCAAGACCAAAGAGGGGGACCUUCGGGCCUCUCACUAUCGGAUGAACCCAGAUGGGAUUAGCUAGUAGGCGGGGUAAUGGCCCACCUAGGCGACGAUCCCUAGCUGGUCUGAGAGGAUGACCAGCCACACUGGAACUGAGACACGGUCCAGACUCCUACGGGAGGCAGCAGUGGGGAAUAUUGCACAAUGGGCGCAAGCCUGAUGCAGCCAUGCCGCGUGUAUGAAGAAGGCCUUCGGGUUGUAAAGUACUUUCAGCGGGGAGGAAGGCGGUGCGGUUAAUAACCGCGUCGAUUGACGUUACCCGCAGAAGAAGCACCGGCUAACUCCGUGCCAGCCGCCGCGGUAA